UUGUUCGAGGACGAGCUCGCCAACCAAGCAGCCGGUCCUAAGACGAAGCGCAAGAGCAAGCGCACGAAGGCGUACACGGCGGCAGAGGAUAAGCUUCUUUGCGAGUGUUGGCGAGACAUUGGACAAGACCCUAAGACGGGCGCCGAGCAAAAGCAUUCAACCUUUUGGAUUCGUGUCCACCGAGAGUUUCAUGAGCGCAAGAAGUUUCCGUCUUACCAAUUUGUGAGCACGCACGGGUGGGUCUCCAUUUCCAAGCGAUGGAGGGUGAUCCAACAAGAGUGCAACAAGUUUUGCGCCAUUCUUGAGAGCGUCAAGGCCCGCCCCGUGAGCGGCAUCGACAUGCAAGACAUGGCAUUUCAAGCUUUGGAGGCAUUCAAGGUUCAACACAAUGGCAAGUGCUUCAACCUCUCCCAUUGCUAUCGGGUCAUCAAG
rnacentral:rRNA from 1 species